GACGAACGCUGGCGGCGUGCCUAACACAUGCAAGUCGAGCGGGGUUGAAGCGAGAGGUAACUCGAGCUUCUACCUAGCGGCGGACGGGUGAGUAACGCGUGGGCGAACCUGCCUCAAGGUUUGGGAUAACAGCCCGAAAGGGCUGCUAAUACCGGAUAUGCCUAUGGCCUCGCAUGGGGCUAUGAGCAAAGGGGAAACCCGCCUUGAGAUGGGCCCGCGUCCCAUCAGCUAGUUGGUGAGGUAACAGCUCACCAAGGCGACGACGGGUAGCCGGCCUGAGAGGGUGACCGGCCACACUGGGACUGAGACACGGCCCAGACUCCUACGGGGGGCAGCAGUGGGGGAUCUUGCACAAUGGGCGAAAGCCUGAUGCAGCGACGCCGCGUGAGCGAAGAAGGCCUUCGGGUUGUAAAGCUCUGUCUGGAGGGACGAACAAAAUGACGGUACCUCCGGAGGAAGCCACGGCUAACUACGUG
rnacentral:rRNA from 1 species